rnacentral:tRNA from 1 species
GUCUGCGAAGCGCAACCGGCUGGCGCACCAGUCUUCCAAACUGGAGAGAGUGGGUUCGAGUCCCAUCGCAGACU